UAGCUACAGGCUUAACACAUGCAAGUCGAGGGGCAUCAGGAAGAAAGCUUGCUUUCUUUGCUGGCGACCGGCGCACGGGUGAGUAACACGUAUCCAACCUGCCCUUUACUCGGGGAUAGCCUUUCGAAAGAAAGAUUAAUACCCGAUAGCAUAAUGAUUCCGCAUGGUUUCAUUAUUAAAGGAUUCCGGUAAAGGAUGGGGAUGCGUUCCAUUAGGUUGUUGGUGAGGUAACGGCCCACCAAGCCUUCGAUGGAUAGGGGUUCUGAGAGGAAGGUCCCCCACAUUGGAACUGAGACACGGUCCAAACUCCUACGGGAGGCAGCAGUGAGGAAUAUUGGUCAAUGGGCGCUAGCCUGAACCAGCCAAGUAGCGUGAAGGAUGAAGGCUCUAUGGGUCGUAAACUUCUUUUAUAUAAGAAUAAAGUGCAGUAUGUAUACUGUUUUGUAUGUAUUAUAUGAAUAAGGAUCGGCUAACUCCGUGCCAGCAGCCGCGGUAAUACGGAGGAUCCGAGCGUUAUCCGGAUUUAUUGGGUUUAAAGGGAGCGUAGGUGGACUGGUAAGUCAGUUGUGAAAGUUUGCGGCUCAACCGUAAAAUUGCAGUUGAUACUGUCAGUCUUGAGUACAGUAGAGGUGGGCGGAAUUCGUGGUGUAGCGGUGAAAUGCUUAGAUAUCACGAAGAACUCCGAUUGCGAAGGCAGCUCACUGGACUGCAACUGACACUGAUGCUCGAAAGUGUGGGUAUCAAACAGGAUUAGAUACCCUGGUAGUCCACACAGUAAACGAUGAAUACUCGCUGUUUGCGAUAUACAGUAAGCGGCCAAGCGAAAGCAUUAAGUAUUCCACCUGGGGAGUACGCCGGCAACGGUGAAACUCAAAGGAAUUGACGGGGGCCCGCACAAGCGGAGGAACAUGUGGUUUAAUUCGAUGAUACGCGAGGAACCUUACCCGGGCUUAAAUUGCAGUGGAAUGAUGUGGAAACAUGUCAGUGAGCAAUCACCGCUGUGAAGGUGCUGCAUGGUUGUCGUCAGCUCGUGCCGUGAGGUGUCGGCUUAAGUGCCAUAACGAGCGCAACCCUUAUCUUUAGUUACUAACAGGUUAUGCUGAGGACUCUAGAGAGACUGCCGUCGUAAGAUGUGAGGAAGGUGGGGAUGACGUCAAAUCAGCACGGCCCUUACGUCCGGGGCUACACACGUGUUACAAUGGGGGGGUACAGAAGGCAGCUAGCGGGUGACCGUAUGCUAAUCCCAAAAUCCUCUCUCAGUUCGGAUCGAAGUCUGCAACCCGACUUCGUGAAGCUGGAUUCGCUAGUAAUCGCGCAUCAGCCACGGCGCGGUGAAUACGUUCCCGGGCCUUGUACACACCGCCCGUCAAGCCAUGGGAGCCGGGGGUACCUGAAGUACGUAACCGCAAGGAUCGUCCUAGGGUAAAACUGGUGACUGGGGCUAAGUCAUAACA
rnacentral:rRNA from 1 species